UAAUUCUCUUACUGUGGAAAUCAGAUAUGUCCAAUCAAAAUUUCAUCACUCUUAGUUGCAGAAAGCAGUUUUAUAUAGCAAUCUACAUUUUAUUGAGGAAUGUUAUGUUUGACACUAUUUUUUUUGUAGAAACAUCUC